UUUGUUUUUUCUCUAUGAAUUUGUGUUCACCGAAUUUAAAAAUAUCCCCCUAAAUCCUUUCGUCAUUGCUGGUAAAUUUUCAAUUAAACAGUAGCGGAUUUAUCUCGACACAAAAAGAAGGAACAGUGUAGAAUAAUAUUCUAAAUAAUCUCGAGUGAACGGUAAUCGUAACACAUCGAUCAUUCGUUGGAUACACAAAGGAUUGCGAAAAACGACAUACGUUCCCGAGAUACCGAUUGCCUCGGACCUGACGGCUGACAUUCGCAGGAAAACCGUCUUCCGACGCCGAUUGGCGGGUCAUGGACCACACCACCAAUCAGCAACGAUCUGCGAAAACGUACUAUCGAGAGAACGAUAUGAUACAGCUGUGGCUCUCGCGCACUCGACAUACACUGUUCUUCUGUUUUCUCGCACCUAGAGAACACACGUACAAUACGGGCGGAUUGACACUUCAGUAAACAAGGUCUACUGUCACCGAUACUCCUGCGUUAGUUCAGUUGUCGCCAGUUUUGCUGAAAAUUACACUAAUAUUCGUGAAUAAUCGUGUUCUUGAAUUGAUAAUACCGAUGACACGGAUGAUGGGCCCUUGCCCAGUUUAUCGUCCUUCGUCUCCUCUCGGGAUCCUGCGUCCCGAUACGUCCACCAUUUCGAUUUUUCCGAUCACGUGGUACGCAACGUUCGCUUUGAUUGGCUUAUUUCGCAGAACCACGUGACUGUUCGCUGAAGCACAAACCACGGUUCACGGGUAUAUAAACAG
rnacentral:misc_RNA from 1 species